rnacentral:lncRNA from 1 species
CAUCAGCAGAUAAACAGCAUAACAGCAGUUUAAACAGCAGCAGAAGCAAACAUAAUUACUAGCUAUAAUAGCAACUAGUAAUACACACAUAUGCACAUGUAAAACACAUGGGUACUUCUUCUCCCCCUAAGUAUGUUCACCUACAGACAUCUCCUUCAACAUCUAUAACAUUCAGAAUUCAGUAACAUUCAGAAUUCAGAAUCACAUUUUGACAUCUCCUUU